GACGAACGCUGGCGGCGUGCUUAACACAUGCAAGUCGAACGGUGAAGGGACUGGUUUUGCUGGUCCUGGAUGAGUGGCGAACGGGUGAGUAACACGUGAGUAACCUGCCCCCUUCUUCUGGAUAACCGCAUGAAAGUGUGGCUAAUACGGGAUAUUCUGGGUCUGUCGCAUGGUGGGCCUGGGAAAGAUUGCGCCUUUUUUGGUGUUUUUGGUGGGGGAUGGGCUCGCGGCCUAUCAGCUUGUUGGUGGGGUGAUGGCCUACCAAGGCGGUGACGGGUAGCCGGCCUGAGAGGGUGGACGGUCACACUGGGACUGAGACACGGCCGAGACUCCUACGGGAGGCAGCAGUGGGGAAUAUUGCACAAUGGGCGCAAGCCUGAUGCAGCGACGCCGCGUGAGGGAUGGAGGCCUUCGGGUUGUGAACCUCUUUCGCCAGUGAAGCAGGCCUGCCUCUUUUUGUGGGUGGGUUGACGGUAGCUGGAUAAGAAGCGCCGGCUAACUACGUG
rnacentral:rRNA from 1 species